rnacentral:rRNA from 1 species
UUGCUCCCUGAUGUUNCGGCGGACGGGUGAGUACACGUGGGUAACCUGCCUGUAAGACUGGGAUAACUCCGGGAAACCGGGGCUAAUACCGGAUGGUUGUUUGAACCGCAUGGUUCAAACAUAAAAGGUGGCUUCGGCUACCACUUACAGAUGGACCCGCGGCGCAUUAGCUAGUUGGUGAGGUAACGGCUCACCAAGGCGACGAUGCGUAGCCGACCUGAGAGGGUGAUCGGCCACACUGGGACUGAGACACGGCCCAGACUCCUACGGGAGGCAGCAGUAGGGAAUCUUCCGCAAUGGACGAAAGUCUGACGGAGCAACGCCGCGUGAGUGAUGAAGGUUUUCGGAUCGUAAAGCUCUGUUGUUAGGGAAGAACAAGUACCGUUCGAAUAGGGCGGUACCUUGACGGUACCUAACCAGAAAGCCACGGCUAACUACGUGCCAGCAGCCGCGGUAAUACGUAAGUGGNAAAGCGU